GAGUGAUGCGCCUUUCCCUUAUCCGAGCUCGCACCCGCUUCCGAGCGGUUAACUUGAUUCGUGCCAUACUCGCUUUUUACUGCUAGUUGAUAAAACAUAGAUGCAAGAAUGAGCACUUACAUGCUCAGCAAGCUCACAUAAUUGUAGAUAGCAUUUAACAAUUUAUGCAUUUAGGGCACAAAAAACAGUUUAAAUCAACAAAGCAUCAAAUACCAGAACA
rnacentral:lncRNA from 1 species